GAUCCCGCCCCGGUACCGCGGGGGUCUGGGCACGGAGCGGCGACACGGCCCGGCCGUGGCGGGUCCGCACCGCCCCGGCCCCGGGCCCCAGCGCACCGGGCCGGGCCGUGGGGGCGGAGCAGAGCCCGCCUCGGGAGCGCGGGGCUAUCGCCGGCCGGGCGUCUGUGCUUGGGAUGGCGCUCGGGGCCCCGGCUGGCGGCCGGUGGCCCUGGGUAUCAGCAGAACCUCCGUGACCUUGACCAUGGUUCCGCUGAAUGCUCCGCGCCAGGACCCGACAUCCCUCGCAGCUGGCUCCUGGGCAGUUUCAUCUGCCCCUGAUACGAACGAAUCUUUUUGCAGUGGGUUGUUCACACGAAAAAAAAAUCAGUGCACGUUAGCUGAACGUGCCCUGGAGAUCUAAUUUCUUGGCAAUAAUUUUUUAUUCUUCUUUGAAGAUGAUCCAAAGUAGUAUUUUCUAUUAUCAUCUCCAGCCUGUCUUUGGAGAAACACCUUAGCGUUGGCAGUAAGGAAGCAUUUGCGUGGAUGGAUGAAUGAAUGAACCUUGUAAAGCCCUCUGAGCCAUUUUGAACUGUUAGAACAAACGUGGUCUUUUCACCUUCAGUGUUUGUGAAAGUUGUCUAUGCAUGUGUAGAAGUUCAUACGGUGACGCUGUCAAAAACCGUGCCUAGAGACACCCAUGAUUGAGGCAGCUUCACUUUAUCAGUUCACCCUGGAGUCUUUCUGGUUCUGUAGCUUGUGUUCUUACUCAAACCCUUCUAUAACAGCUGGGUUUGAAAAACUUCAAGGAACAACUAAUAACAGCCCUCUCUUCUCUUUCUGUCUGAAGUUCCCAGAACAAGUAUGAUGAGAAACUUAUCCUUUGGCCAUAAUUUCUUGAAAAGUGAGUUGUUAUGAACAAAACAGCCUGGCUGGGACACUUGGCUUGGGAGGACGAGACUGGACUGGGCUGUGGGAAGCAGGAGCAAAGCAGUCAGACACUUCCUGGUGCUGCCAGGAGGGAAGGAGAGGGACAGCUGCUGCUGGGCUUUGGCAGCAGGCUCUGCGCAUCCCCCCACCCUGCGGCCACCAGUGUGCCGGGAGGUAAGGAGAGAGGACGGUCUGCUGGGACUUCAGAUACGGAUUGCACACCUCUUCACCUCCAGCUACCAGCGUGCCACGGAGACUCCAGGGACAGACUCUGCACGCCUGCUCACCCUUCGGCGGCCGGAGAAGCUACAACAGCGGGGGCGAGCUCCUUGUCGAACCCCCUGCCGAGCUGACUUUUUGCAAUCGAAAUAGUUCUUGAGGUGGGAUUUGACUGGGGAAAUGUGAUCACAUGGUUGACCUUAGGGGAGAUGUUGAGUCUAAUUUGAACAAUAUGUGAAAAAGGGGGAGGAGAAAGCAAACAGCCACCAAGACCUGUAAAGUUUUUGUGGUCCUGUAUCCUGUGUAUGAAGAUGCUAAUCUGCCCCUUCCAAAAUCAGUAGUAUUAGCAAGCAUUAAAAAAAAGACAAAUCCACAUUCUGGAUAUGAAGACAUAAACCCCACUAAAAUACAUGGAAGAUAUUAUUCAUAUAAAGGUGGAAGUUGCUACAUUACAUCAUCUUCAAAGAAUGGAAGAAAUUUUAGUAAAAAUGUCAAGAUUUUUAAAGAGCAUUCCAGUAAGGCACAAUUAAUGUUUCUAUCAACAUGAUUAAAUGAAAUCAGAUUUUUUAUUUAAAGAGCAAAGUUGUUUAUGAAUUGCACUAGUCACCUGGAAAAUUGCUGAUGAAAUUUCAUCUAUUUCAUUAUGUCGCCUACCUUUUCUGAGAGAAAAUUGAAGUAUACAUCUUUUUGAAAGAUUAAAUAUGUUGUUAGUGCUGUUGUUGAUCUCUUAUGGUCUCUGAAGCUUUGGGGAUAACUCAGAGCAAAAUAAAAUAAAUACCAGCAAACUCAUCAUUUUAAAAUGUAUUAAUAUGCAUAAUAAUUAAAACUACAUUUCAGUAGUGCUUUCUACUCUGAUGAAGACCUGUAAAUAUCCCUCUCUGUACCAACUUGAAACUUGUUGACAUUUACUUCUGCCAGUAAUUUGGGCUUUUGUAUCUUUUUUUUUUUUUUUUUUUUUUUAAUGCCCAAAGUAAGAUUCUUCAUAGUCAGGAUUUUAAAACCAUGGAUACUCUGCUUCAUGAAAACUGGCCCACUCUAACAUGUCUCACACAAAUCACGCUUGAAGAGGUCUGCCUCUGUUUCUAGUGCAAUGUAUCUGCUAAGAUAGCAGGCUUAAAAUCUGUCAUUCAGUCUCUAGGAACUUGGGAAUCACAUGCUUAAAUAAUUUGAAGGGAGGUGGGACAGAAGACUUUUAUGGGACAGAAAGUAAGAAACAUUUACAGAGCAAACUAAGAAACACUGACUUGGAAGCUUUGACUUCAUAUGAAAAGGUAUUUUUUUUAGCUUCUCAGUGAUAUGAAAAGCAUUUUUCUGCGUUUCUGCCUGGGAAGUGUUUAAUAAAAAAAGGCAAACCAUUUAUCUCGAUUAAAGAUCACCUUAUUGUGGUUUAGUUUGAACUGUCAUUUAACUAAUUUUCACUGACUUAUAAAAAAUGAUAGCCUGUAAAUCAAAGGUAGAAUAUCCAUACAAGCUUUUAUUCCUAUUUAAAAACAGUUAGAAACAAAUUAAUCACAUUUUUGGCUAUAUUAUUGAAAACCUUACACAUAGCAAGUCUGAACUGUUAAAGAAAGUAGAUUCCAGGAAUGAAAUAAUCUAAAACCUUAAAAAUAUCAGGUCAAAUGAAAAUUAAAAGCAAGAUACAAGAUACAAGAAAAUACCAUCUUUGCUCUUUUAUUCACAGCUAUGUUGAGCUCACUGAAGAUGCCAUGAAGAGAUGAAAAAUUGAAAUUGUUCUAUCUGUUCAUCAUGUACUGUGUUCUCUCCAGUCUGCAGUGUGUAUGAAAAAAGACACCUUUGCUUCCAUGGAAUGGCAAAAUAGAGUAAUUUAGCCAAUAGGAAUGUUGCUUCAGCAUUCAAAACUAGGUACACUGUUAAAAAAGAAUUACUGUUGUUUUUAUUCUCCUAAAAAAUGGCAUUUUAACAGUAUACAUUCACUGUUACACUUUUUCAUUUCAGCAAUCAUAUAGUUUGCUUUUUCAUAUGUCCUUGGCAUCUAUUUUAAUCAUGUGAAUAACAAAGGACUAACAAUGUCUUUUUCUGUAAGUUACAUAAAGUACAUUCCACUAUGAAAGGUAAAAGAAAAAAUUACCUAAUGAGGCAUGGUAUUUCUGUGACUGUCCCAUUAUAUAGAAAAUUUAUUUAAUUACUUUAACUAUAUUGUUAAUGAAUUCAAAAUAAGUCUUGGAACUGAAGAAUUAGUAUUGUUUAAAUAUUUGAAAUUCUUGAGUGGAUUCUGCUUCUGAUGUUACUUUCUUCCUCCUUCUUACUACUAAUUUCUAUUGUUAGUGUGGGAAUCCAGGGCUUCCCUCUGGCUGCCCUGGAGGGCCUGGGACCCUGACAGGGGGUCAGGAACCCCCCUGUACAGAGCCCCACACGCUGCCCUGCAGGACAGACCUGUAGCAGGGCAGCAGAACAUGUUAGAGAUAAGCAAGAAUAAACAACCUGGAAAACAGCACAGACGAAUUAUGGCUUCUUCUUUGGCAACGGGGCAGAAAGACAGAGACUUUCUACAAUCUCGGAAUCAUCAAUACCCACAGAUUCCAAUAAAUGGCGUCCCUUGGGGUGGGCUUCAGCAAGAAGAACAAGAAGAAACAUCAAACAAACUCCAACCUUCAUCAGCAGAGGAAAAAAAAAAGGAGAGGGAAGCCCUGGAUUUCCACAUAUUAGUUUUUCAGAACAAAUCCUGAUUGCCAUCCCAUGUUUGUAUCUGUCAUGGCUUUCAGUGACUCUAUCAGUAACCUUUGGGUAGUAAAGCCCUUGCAGUUGUUUGCAGCUGAGUUGCUAAUUAUAUUUUUGUUACUUGGGAAGACAGUGGAUCUACAAUAUUCUCAGUUUUGCUACUUCCCAUGGCUAACAAGUGGGACAAGCACAUAAAAUCUCAACUUCCCAUGGCUAACAAGUGGGACAAGUGCAUAAAAUUUCAAAGAGUCAAAGUAGAUUGAUUGAAUAAUUUAUUCAAUAGCCAUAUGGGUGAAUAGAAGUUGUGACAGGUAUUUUGUUGUCAUUUUAUACUUUGUGUGGCUACUUUGAGAAUCUCAUCCUAGAUUCAUUAAGCAAUCUCUGUUUAGCAGUAUUUGUCCUGUCAAAACAGAUUACAAAAUUCCCAAGUAGUCAGAAACCUUGUAGAAAUAGGAAAAUAGGUUUUUCUUCAUUUUAUGUGAAAGAAUAAAUCUGUUUAUGAUUUUCAAGCA